AAUAAUAUUAUUUUGAUAGUUGUGAAACACACGCGCCCUCAAUUGUGCGAACGUAAAGGCGAAAACCUAAAACUCGGAGACUGAAAUUCGACGCUUCCACCGGUGUUAGUCGUCGCCGGUGGGUCUUGCCAUCUCGUGGUGACCUGUCUAUCUCUCUCUCCUUCCUCAGUCAUGGAUCCGUUGGAUCGUUUUUCAGCUCCACAGUUGUCUCCUCCCUUUAAGAAUCCGUCUCUCACUUCGGAAGUAGUUACAGUUCCUCUCUCUACGUCGUCUCCGUCAACUCUUCUCUCUUCAUCGUCGGAAUUAGCCGUGAGUUCUCCGUCUACGAUUCUGGAAGGUCCCAAUGGUACGGUUCCUUGCGAUUCUAAUUGUGUCAACGGUUUGGGUCCUCGCGGAAGUGAUGUAGUGACCUGUGACACUCAAUCCCUUCCUGAUACUGGUGUUAUCGCCUCUGUUUCUCUCGACUCUGAUGUAAGUGCAGCAAUGGAAAAUGAUUCUACGGUCUUCACUAAUGUUAUUGCUCCUCCGGAUCCUGUGAGUUUUGUUCCAUCCUUGGGUUCAUGGGCUAAACCACUUUUCUUCAAGCCCCCUGCUACCCCACCAGAACCAAGCACUCCGUCUGGCUACGACCCUGCUAUUGUUGGGAACCAGUUAGCGGCUAUGUGGCCAUCGCUUAAUGACAAGAUUUUGAACAAGCCAUUGAAGGGCAGGCAACAAUCCCGUUCUCUGCAGCCUCCGAUAGAGAAGCUACCACCUCCUGAACUCAAAGCUGAUGGAACCCUGAGAUUUCCGUGGGCUGCAAGAUUAAAUUCUCAAUCGCGUAAUCUCUAUCGGGCAGCUACACCAACUUACAGGCUUGAUGGAACACCAGAGGUAUCUAUUCCUUCUAAAGUGCUUAGGCUAGGACCUGAGAAUAAGGAUGAAUAUAUCAUAGGAAAGUUUCAUAGGUGUUCUUUACCUCCAGGCGGGCUUAUACAUGCUGUAGUAAACAAGAUUUGGGGCAGGAGUUGUAAGAUUACUUGUAAGAAGGUUGGGGAUUCUUCUUAUAUGUUCCAUAUCCCUCAUCAGCCCACUCGUCAAUGGAUCAUUCAAAGAGGAGUUUGGCAUAUUGAUGAUUGCUUACUUUUUGUACUUCCGUGGAUUCCAGAGGGUUCUUUCAAAGUUCCAGAAAUCUAUACUCUUCCUGUUUGGGUCAUUCUGAAAAACAUACCCGACUGCUGUUACUCUAGAUUAGGAAUAAGCCAUGUCGCCUCUGGUCUUGGAGAACCUAUUCUAACCCAUAAGCCUCGUCUAGAUUUUACAAGUAUGGGAGAAGCUAAAGUCUUAGUAGAAAUGGAGUUGGAUAAAGCUUUUCCGAAGCUUAUUGCCCUUGAUGAUAAACAGGGUAGCAUUUUCCUGGUUAAUGUGGAAUAUACGUGGAUUCCAUCAACUUGUGAAAGAUGUGGAAACUUAGGCCAUAAAGCGAAGAGGUGUCUUCUUCCUUCGAAGCCUCUACAUGAUACAAACUUGCAGCAAAAAGAAAAGGAUGAAAUUAAUGGUGAAGUUCCUGUUGUGGAUAUUGAUCUCAUCAUGCAGCAAAGAGAAAAUGAUACUUCCUCUUCAGAAGCCCCCUCUCAUAACAACCCACUGAUUAAUGGUACUGCCUCGACUGCUGUCUCAGUACAUGAUAUCCCUUUAGUGAAAGAGUCUGAAGUCCCUUCAGUAGUUGCAGCUGCUGAAAAAAGCCAAUCCUUGCAAACUGAUCUGGUGGUAAUUCCUCCUCUCUUUACAUUUUCUUCUGAUGUUUCUAUGGAUUGCCAAGGUACACCAGAUAUAAAUUACAAAACUCACUCACCUUCUUUGCGACUUCAACCGGAGAUCCAAACUAUUUUGCCAAACUUUUCCACUACUUUAUCCCCAUUAGUAGAUUCUCAGUCUACUCCUAUUACUGCAACUAUUAUGGAUUCAUUUCCAUCAAAUAUUAUCAACAAGGAAGUACAAAAUCCAUCCAUUGUUGAUCCUUUAACCACAUCACUUCAAGUUAGUGAAUUUGAGAGUCCUUCUCGUUUCACUGUGUUAGAAGCGUUGGAUGAAGUUGAAUUGGAGCAUAGGAGCUCUUUCAGCUUGACAAGGGGUGGGAGAGAGACAAGACCUCCUAUCAAAUUUCAAGACUUAGAAUGAAAAACAGUAAAAGGGAGAGGGGCGGUUAACAGAAGGAGGCGGCUGAUCAGCCGGAUAUGUUUAAUAAUUGUCGGUUUUGAGAAAAAGAGGGAUGGGGGAAUAACCAUAUUAUUAUGAAACAAUUUCAAUGAUGUAUUCGAUAUUAGACGAAAGUGUCGAGGAAAUUAAGAUCAGAUGUUGAAGUGAGUUGCGUUGAAGUGUUCUGUGUGCUUACUAGAUAGGAAGACUUAUCAAAUGGCAACUUGGCAAGAAGCUAUGUUUUACCUCUACCUCGGGCAUGUGUUUGUUUGCCUUCAUCAGUCCAGGGAUAAUGUUACUAAUUUUCAAGAGAGCUACAAGUCAUGUUCCCUUGAGGAUUAUAUCAAACAAAGAUGGCACGAUUCUCAAGUUUUUCAAUCACGUGUUUCACCUCAACACGAAAGUUGAUUUCAUUGAGAAAUUCACGAGUGUUUCGCCUCUCAAGAGAGCUACAAGUCAUGUUCCCUACAAGUCAUUGAUUUCAAUCACGAGUGUUUCGCCUCUCAAACACUCGUUUUUCACAUAUGGAAGCAAAGAAACAACCUCAUCCACAAUGCUGUCUCUCUGCCUCCUACUCAUGUCUUUAGGACCAUUGACAGAGAAUUAAGAAACAUCUUUUCUGCCAGAAGGUCUUACAAGCACUUCACCUCGCUUAUGGUUCUUUGGUUCCAAUAGGCGGUUAAGAUUUCCACUUGUUUAGGAAGUUAAUGAUCCAUCUUGUUUUUUCUUUCUUUUUGCCAAGAUGUAUCAAAUCCUUUGAUCUUGCUUUUGCAUCAUCACCUUUCUUUAAUGAUAUUUACAGUUUAGCAAAAAAAAAA